rnacentral:rRNA from 1 species
AUUGAACGCUGGCGGCAUGCCUAACACAUGCAAGUCGAACGGCAGCACAGCCGUAGCAAUACGGUGGGUGGCGAGUGGCGGACGGGUGUGGAAUGCAUCGGAAUCUGCCCGGUCGUGGGGGAUAACGCAUCGAAAGGUGCGCUAAUACCGCAUGAGAUCGAGAGAUGAAAGCGGGGGACCGCAAGGCCUCGCGCGAUCGGAUGAGCCGAUGCCGGAUUAGCUAGUUGGCGGGGUAAAGGCCCACCAAGGCGACGAUCCGUAGCUGGUCUGAGAGGAUGAUCAGGCACACUGGGACUGAGACACGGCCCAGACUCCUACGGGAGGCAGCAGUGGGGAAUAUUGGACAAUGGGCGCAAGCCUGAUCCAGCAAUGCCGCGUGUGUGAAGAAGGCCUUCGGGUUGUAAAGCACUUUUAUCGGGAGCGAAAAGCGGACGGUGAAUACCCGUCCGUGCUGACGGUACCCGAGGAAUAAGCACCGGCUAACUUCGUGCCAGCCGCCGCAGUAAUAC